rnacentral:rRNA from 1 species
GAGGAAUAUUGGGCAAUGCCCGCAAGGGUGACCCAGCAACGCCGCGUGGAGGAUGAAUGUCGUAAGAUUGUAAACUCCUGUUAGCGGGGAAGAAUAGUACCGGUUGGACCGGUAUAUGACUGUACCCUCAGAGAAAGCCCCGGCUAACUACGUGCCAGCAGCCGCGGUAAUACGUAGGGGGCAAGCGUUGUCCGGAUUUACUGGGUGUAAAGGGCGCGCAGGCGGGAUAAAAAGUCAGUGGUGAAAUCCUACAGCUUAACUGUAGAACUGCCUUUGAUACUUUUAUUCUUGAGUUCGGGAGAGAGAGACGGAAUUCCAGGUGUAGUGGUGAAAUACGUAGAUAUCUGGAAGAACACCAGUUGCGAAGGCGGUCUCUUGGUCCGACACUGACGCUGAGGCGCGAAAGCGUGGGGAGCAAACA